CCAGACACAGCGUGGGAGGGGAAACCGAGACGGAUGAAGUAACUUGUCAAAGGUCACACAGCAGGUUAGUGGAAGAGCCAGACGUAUGGGGCUCAGAAGAGCAGUGCUAAUCCAAUGACCUAACCCCUGGGCAACACUAACUCUAAUACCAGUCCCCUCUGAGGCCUUCCUUCAGGGAUACAAAGCAUCCUGCAGAACCUAAUUUGAAAGCCUUGCCCCGCAGUCUGCACAGACUGCAGCUUUAAUUCACUGCUACUCUAUUUCCUGUUCUGUCGCUGUUCUGAGGUUUCACUAUUAACAUCAAAAUGGAAGGGAAAUUCCCUGCCCCCAGAGUGCUCCCCAUAAAUUUUUUCCGUUGAAACUCACAGACCCAAAUGCCACGCAACAGCAGAGAGGCAAGCGAAAGGAGGAGACCCAGCACGACCAGGCACUGGAGAAAUGGAAGAAGCGUUUUUCCAGCUUUACCAAGAAUUCACACAACUGCAGGAUUUAUGUGCAAAGCAGGCUGAGUUGCUACAGAAGUUGAUUGUGAAGAAGGAACCAAUGACGGACAUGCCAAUUUCGAUGCCAAUCCAGUGCACGGACGACGGGGGAUUAGCACAAUCAGAGAGACUCUUCUUCCAACAGCAGUUACCAAAGGUUCCCAGCUCUAUCCUUUCCAACCCAACAGUUCCUACAUGGCCCAACUCCGCAGUUCUUCGGGACCAGCCACAAGAUGCAGACACGGUUUCUCGUUUUGAUAUUAAGUACCCUCCGAGUGCAGCAAAUGCCAACUUGUUAAGCAGUGCCAAGGGGAAGGCAGAUUUCGCAAUAGCACUUUCCAGCCAGAACCACCACAAACCGCACGUGGGCAAGAAGGCGGCUUGUGACACGCUGUUGAAAAAUUAUACGAUGUUUCCUGCUUUGAAAGCGGACAAGGAACAAUCCACAGCCCCUCCCAUACCUCCAGAGCUUGCUACCUUAAAUCCGGAGGAUGUAGGCUCUUUUCCCAGUUUCUUGGAUCUUUAUGAAGCACCACAAGAUUUACAGACGGAAAGUACUUCCCUUCAAGCAGCAGAAAUUAAAGUUCCUAUAGAAAUACGAGGACCCACACAGACUUCCUGGACUCCAGGAUGGGCGGUAGAAGACAGUCCACUUGGUCACAGCGGGAAUUUUGAACUCCAAGGGUACUCUGCAUACACAGACCUGUGAGUUUUGCCAAGUCAUUUUCCCAGCUGGGGAAGCAGCACAAGGAGACUAUGACAAGCAUCUCAUAGCUCAUAUCGAAUAGGAUUGGUAUCAUCAUGUACUUGUAACCCGCUUACAGAGGAUGGCUUUCCGUCCCCUUUAGUGGCUGGACAACAUAAGGGUUAUGAGCCUGCUAUAGAACUGUUGGAAUAAGUGACUUCUUGACUCAGUGGCUGAAUAAAAACAUUGUGAAAAAACA
rnacentral:lncRNA from 1 species